rnacentral:rRNA from 1 species
ACGGGAGGCAGCAGUGGGGAAUAUUGCACAAUGGGGGAAACCCUGAUGCAGCGACGCCGCGUGAGUGAAGAAGUAUUUCGGUAUGUAAAGCUCUAUCAGCAGGGACGAUAAUGACGGUACCUGACUAAGAAGCCCCGGCUAACUACGUGCCAGCAGCCGCGGUAAUACGUAGGGGGCAAGCGUUAUCCGGAUUUACUGGGUGUAAAGGGAGCGUAGGUGGCCAUGCAAGUCAGAUGUGAAAACCCGGGGCUCAACCCCGUGACUGCAUUUGAAACUGCGUGGCUGGAGUACAGGAGAGGUAAGCGGAAUUCCUAGUGGAGCGGUGAAAUGCGUAGAUAUUAGGAGGAACACCAGUGGCGAAAGCGGCUUACUGGACUGAAACUGACACUGAGGCUCGAAAGCGUGGGGAGCAAACAGGAUUAGAUACCCUGGUA